CAAAGAGUACAUGCACCAGACUAUUUAUUGUCUUAUGAAAGGUUUGCUCCCUGCAAUGUUGCUUUGCAUGAUCUGCACCCACCCAGCGCAUUGGCUGGCGCAUUGGUUGCGUUAUGUCACAAUGAGCUGCAGAAUUGGCCAACAUCAGUUUUAAGGGAAUUGACAGGACUACUAUCGGGCUUACCACUUUGACCUGUACCAGAUACUUCAAAGGCAAAGAAUACAAGAAACUCUGUAUUGGAAUCAUCUGCUAGCAGAGGAAAUUUCUUCCCAACAUCAGACAGUUUGUCACUGAUUUAACCCCUCUGACAGGAAAGUUUAUGUGCCUCUUAAAAAACAAUCCAGUUGAAUGUAACAGUGAUGUAAGUUUGUUCAUUAAGCCUAAUGAUUUUUUGUUUGAUAUGUGUUUGAUUUCUCUGACCUACCAUUACAACCCUCCUACCAUUUUCUCUGGAGAUUUUUCUUGUGCUAAAGUAACAGUUUGAUUCUUUUUCCAGCCAAUUUUUAUAUAGAUAACCCUGCAAAGUUAAUGAUGCUCAAGAGCUGAGGCCCUAUAGCAGCCAUUUUGCAA